rnacentral:rRNA from 1 species
AGCGAACGCUGGCGGCAGGCUUAACACAUGCAAGUCGAGCGGGCGUAGCAAUACGUCAGCGGCAGACGGGUGAGUAACGCGUGGGAACGUACCUUUUGGUUCGGAACAACACAGGGAAACUUGUGCUAAUACCGGAUAAGCCCUUACGGGGAAAGAUUUAUCGCCGAAAGAUCGGCCCGCGUCUGAUUAGCUAGUUGGUGAGGUAACGGCUCACCAAGGCGACGAUCAGUAGCUGGUCUGAGAGGAUGAUCAGCCACAUUGGGACUGAGACACGGCCCAAACUCCUACGGGAGGCAGCAGUGGGGAAUAUUGGACAAUGGGGGCAACCCUGAUCCAGCCAUGCCGCGUGAGUGAUGAAGGCCCUAGGGUUGUAAAGCUCUUUUGUGCGGGAAGAUAAUGACGGUACCGCAAGAAUAAGCCCCGGCUAACUCCGUG